CGUAAGUUACCUACCCCGUGGGAGAGGGAUACUGACGUGGAAACGGUUUCUAAUACCUCAUAUGCUGAGAAGUAAAAGUAAUAACGCCUAGGGACGGGACUUGCGUCUGAUUAUUUUCGCUAAGUUGGCUGAGGUAAAGGCUCACGCCAAGGUGAUGAUCAGUAGCUGGUCUGGAGAGGAUGACCGGCCACACUGGGACUGAGAAACGGCCCAGACUCCUACGGGAGGCAGCAAGUGAGGAAUCUUCCGCAAUGGGCGAAAGCCUGACGGAGCAAUGACGCGUGAGGGAUGACCGCCUGU
rnacentral:rRNA from 1 species